rnacentral:rRNA from 1 species
GCUCAACCGUGGAGGGGCAUUGGAAACUGGGAAACUUGAGUGCGAAGAGGAAAGUGGAAUUCCCUGUGGAACGGUGAAAUGGGCAAAAAUAUGGAGGAACACCAGUGGCGAAGGCGACUUUCUGGUCUGUUCUGACGCUGAUGUGCGAAAGCGUGGGGAUCAAACAGGAUUAGAUACCCUGGUAGUCCACGCCGUAAACGAUGAGUGCUAAGUGUGGGGGGUUUCCGCCCCUUAGUGCUGCAGCUAACGCAUUAAGCACUCCGCCUGGGGAGUACGACCGCAAGGGUGAAACUCAAAGGAAUUGACGGGGACCCGCACAAGCGGUGGAGCAUGGGGUUUAAUUCCAAUCAACGCGAAAAACCUUACCAAAUCUUGACAUCCUUUGAAAACUCUAGAGAUAGAGCCUUCCCCUUCGGGGGACAAAGUGACGGGUGGUGCAUGGUUGUCGUCAGCUCGUGUCGUGAGAUGUUGGGUUAAGUCCCGCAACGAGCGCCUCCUUAAGCUUAGUUGCCAUCAUUAAGUUGGGCACUCUAGGUUGACUGCCGGUGACAAACCGGAGGAAGGUGGGGAUGACGUCAAAUCAUCAUGCCCCUUAUGAUUUGGGCUACACACGUGCUACAAUGGACAAUACAAAG